rnacentral:rRNA from 1 species
AGUGAACGCUGGCGGUAGGCCUAACACAUGCAAGUCGAACGGCAGCACAGUAAGAGCUUGCUCUUACGGGUGGCGAGUGGCGGACGGGUGAGGAAUACAUCGGAAUCUACUUUUUCGUGGGGGCUAACGUAGGGAAACUUACGCUAAUACCGCAUACGACCUACGGGUGAAAGCAGGGGAUCUUCGGACCUUGCGCGAUUGAAUGAGCCGAUGUCGGAUUAGAUAGUUGGCGGGGUAAAGGCCCACCAAGGCGACGAUCCGUAGCUGGUCUGAGAGGAUGAUCAGCCACACUGGAACUGAGACACGGUCCAGACUCCUACGGGAGGCAGCAGUGGGGAAUAGUGGACAAUGGGCGCAAUCCUGAUCCAGCCAUACCGCGUGGGUGAAGAAGGCCUUCGGGUUGUAAAGCCCUUUUGUUGGGAAAGAAAAGCAGCAGGUGAAUACCCCGCUGUUCUGACGGUACCCAAAGAAUAAGCACCGGCUAACUUCGUG